CGCCCUGAUGCUAAUGCUGCUGACCUAUGAAUCACACAUUGAAGCAGCCUUACUUCAGAGGACUCGACCAACCAUAAAAACAUUGACAUUGAAACCAAAUUAGUUCUUAGGGAUACCAGCUUCCCUCUUUAUUGCUGGGUGACUUGGUGCUUAUUCUCCAUAAAGCAGAUCUCUUAACCUCCCUGGGUCUUUGUUUUCAUGUCCCAAAGAUGAGACUUUGGAUGAGACCCUGGACCAGGUGACCCUGUUUCCUUCGGGAUAAGGAACAGGAGUGAAUUGUGGGGCCAGAACCAGAGAGGCCGAUAAGAAGCCAGCUGCACUGGGCCUGAGCCAACAUCUGGGAGCAGAGAGGCUUCCCUGCCCAUGAUCAACAAUGCAGAUGCCACAGAAUGAAACUGUUCUGGAUUUCAAGGCCUAGCACCUCAUAAUUGACAAACUUGAAGGCAGAUACUGGCUUCAGGGUCAUCAGCAAAAAUCUCUACUUCUCCUCUCUAGGUUUGGAAAGAAAGAGAAAAACUACUAUGUAUCUAGGGUCUGCUCUGUGUCAGGCACUGUGCCUAAAUCUGUCAUUGGAUUCACACACACACACACACACACACACACACGUUGAAGUAACAGGCAGAAAGCAGCUGGUUUUUAAUUUUUCUUGAAUUCAUUUCAUUUGUGAGAAUAAAUUUCUAUCUCUAGAGUAUGGAUUUAUACACUUCAAAUCUUUUUGCUUUUGUUGAUGCGGAUGCCCUGAUUAAACACAAAAUUUGAUUUUGGAAAUUGUUCAGAUAGGGUAUAAUCUUACCCAAGAAAAAGGCUUUGCAAUUCCAUUCCCUAGAAGAGACUGAGGCCGCCCCGCCCAUUCAGUGGACGUGUCUCUGGAGGUAUCACCCGAUUCAGUUGACUCCGGCAUCUCUUCCAAUCCCAUGACUCCUUUGUCUGCUUGUUUUACACUUGACUGGAUGCUUUAUCACUACAUGAAGCAGUUCUCUUUGAUGCCUUCUGGGAAUAAUAAAUGCAACUGAAUUAUAGUUUUUAAUUCAGCCACAAAGCCGAGAAGGGAGAAACAAUCGUGUUAACUUGAUUAUUGAAUUCUUUUGCAAUUGUCAAGGGACAACAGAGGCUUCCAGACUAUUGGGAAAUAUUUGGCUACUUCAAGGUGUACAUUCCAGUCCUGUAAAGAGGUGAUCCAGCUUAAAGCAGAACUUGAGAGUUCUCCACACCCUCCACUCCCCUGUACUGGUGUCCUUGGUAUACACGGUCUAAUAAUAACGCAGGUCCUUCCCACUCUGCCCCUCCCCUACUAGUGAGAUUGACAACAGGCAUUGCUAGGCAGGGCAGAGGAAACUCUCUUUCAACCACUUAACUUUUUCCAUUAACUACUUUGAGACCUACCUCAUAAGGAUGAUUCGUGAAGGAUAAGUCAUAGGUAAAACCUGCCUAGCACAAAGCUAGACACAAGGAAGGCACUCAAAGACAAUAGCCAUUGUGAUUUUUGCAUCAUUAUAAAUAGAAGAGGCUAGGGAGAGAGAAUUUAAAGGCACCAAGGAGGGGUGCUGGGGUGGCUCAGUCAGUUGAGCACCGCCUUCAGCUCAGGUCAUGAUGAUCCUGGGGUCCUGGAAUGGAGUUCCAAGUCAGGCUCCUUGCUCAAUGGGAAGCCUGCUUCUCCCUCUCUCUUCCCCUCUCCUCACUCAUGCUCACUCACUCACUCUCUCUCAAAUAAAUAAAUAACAUUUUUUCCAAAAGUAAUAAAUUAGAGCACUGAGGAAUGAUAAGAAAGUAGGGAGGAGAGAGGUAAGUCAAUAGCCUCUUAGACUGGUUCCUAUCUCACAUGGUUAGAAGCCAACCUCAGUCUUGCAGGCAGGUCUUAGAGGAUGCCAGCAGGGAGAAUGGGGCCACAUAGACUUACCAACCAGGAUGCCCAUAGUUAUCCACCACCACUACCAAGAAAGCAAAAGAGAAUUGCCUCUCUGGCUCCUUCUGGGGCCACUGGCCUGGCACACCUGGCCUGUUAGAACAGUCUUACCUGAAGGCUGGGUUGAGCAAGGAUGUCCCUGGACAUACCCACAGGACUGAAAUCCUUAACACUACCAGAGGCCAUCCUAGGAAACAAGAUGGAAUAAUAUCUCCCCGACCAGUGUCUGGGUCUUUUUAAAGCCUUGUAUUUUACAAUUACUUGCUCUUGACUCUGGAAAAGGAAGGCAUCUUGGGCCUGGCAUGAGUAGCCCUGGCUUUUCACCCUCAUCCUGGUCCUGUCUCUGGGAACCUUCAUCCUCAGGGUUCUCAGGGCCUCAAUUUCCUCUGUAUAAUCUCAAAUGGUCAUAUGGCUCUUGGAAUGUUGUCAAAAGGAUUAAAUCAUAUAGUGGAUGUAGAACACCAGGAAGAGAGCCUGGUCCAAAGAAAAUUCCUAAUAAAGAUUACUUUUCACUCACGA